ACUUAAAUUUUUAAAUAAGACGAGAAGACCCCGGCGAGCUUAAUUUAUGUUUAAAAAUAAGUUAAACACGAAGGUUUGUUGGGGCAACGCAAGAGGAAAACUACUCUCUUGAAUAGUUAUAUUGAUCCAUUAUGAAUGAAAAAAGCAAAAGCUACCGCGGGGAUAACAGCGUAAUUUUUUUAUAGAGUUCAUAUCGAAAAAAAAGUUUGCGACCUCGAUGUUGGAUUAAAUUUUCCUCUUGGUGCAGAAGUUAAGAAGGAAGGCCUGUUCGUCCUUUAAAAUUUU
rnacentral:rRNA from 1 species